ACAGGUAACCCAUGAUCUAAUGGCAUCAUACUCUUCCUUCAUAAAAUAAAGUGACUGGAACCUUCAACCACAAUUAAGUAUCUCACCGCUCAGGAUAAUUUGAAGAGGAAUGUCAAGGCAAUCACAAAGUAACCAGGCCGUUCAAGGAAAUCUGAAGAUUACUUCUGGAGACAUUUUUCCUAGUGAAUAGCUGGAGAAGGACUGGGAGAAACCAACAGAAUUACUGCUUAUAGGAUCCAAACAGAAUGAAUAAACACACCAAACUCUGCAGAGAAACCUUCUAAAUGGGGGAAUUGGCCUCAAGCAUCUGGUGGGGACAAGAGACCAUUGUUCUCUUCCCUGUCCCCAGCUGUUGUUAAGCAGCUGUAAGUGAAGUUCAUCUGCAUUCUAAGAAGCAGAAGAAAUGGUCAUGUGCGAAAGAUCCUGAGAAGAGCUACAGGGAAGGGGGCAGCGUAUGUGAUGAGGGUCCACAUGAUGGAGGCACGUGUGAUGGAGGCCUUUCCCUACCUUUCAGCAUCACAUCCAACUGUCCAAAUCCCCAAAGGCUGAGACUCCUGUCUGAACCUAUUUAAGCACACGUCAUAAAAAAUAUUCAGCACUAUUGACUUGUUUUCUAACCCCAGACAAAAUGUUGAGUCUACAGCAGGGUCAUAUUAGUCUCCUGAUAAUUUGUUGAGGUGGAUUCUAUUCCAUAGAAGGAUUGUUUUUCAAGACUGGGUUUCUCUUUGUAGCCCUGGCUGUCUUUCCUGAAACUCAUUCCGUAGACCAGACUAGCCUCAAACUCAGUGAUCUCCCUGUCCUUGCCUCCCAAGUGCUGGGAUUAAAGGCAUGUACCACUAUGCCCAGCUUACAUGUGAAGAAUUUAAUAGUCACAGAAGUUUUAUUACUAAAUGUUAAAGCUGGAAUUUUAACCCCAGGUCUCCGACACCACUCUCUAAGGCCAUCAUCAUCCCAUUCUGAUUUCCUAUCUCAAGGAGUGUAAACACCUGACAGUCCUGUUGCUAACUCUCUGGAUCAUCCCUGUGUUCAUACUCUGUGCUGCGGCAGCCAAUGGCCCAUUCAUUCCUGUGAGAUGCAGGCUCUUCUAACAUGUGACGUUGGAUGGGGAAACUUCCCAGAAGCUUGUCCAGUUUUCCUCAGAGCUGUGCUGUGAUUUGAGGUUCUUACAAUUCUUCUGCUCUCCUGUUUUCCUUUCACAGGAGUCCUGGCCUAAAGGUUACCUGAUAUAUUCUAUUUUAAAGUAUUUCUUGUCAAUAUCUUUCUUGUACAUCUAAGUUUAUCUGCUUCUUGGAAGGCCCAGAGAAUACCCCGUCUGUACUUUGUUUUGGAGAUGAACAUGAAACUCUAGCCUUGUCUACUCAUGAAAGAGUUAAGUGGGGACGGCUAAAGACACAGGAUUGGUGUCCUGGUUCCAUUCUGUUUCUGAGAUAAUAUACUGACCAAAAGCAAUUCCAGGUUACAAUCCUUCAUCUCGGGGAAGUAGAGUGGUGGGAUCUUGAAGCAGUUGGUCAUAUCAUAUCUAUUGCUAAGAAUAUGGUAAAUAAAUGAGUCCAUGUGUA